AUGCCUAACACUAUUCCUAACACUAUUCCUAACACUAUUCCUAACACUAUUCCUAACGCUAUUCCUAACGCUAUUCCUAACACUAUUCCUAACACUAUUCCUAACGCUAUUCCUAACACUAUUCCUAACACUAUUCCUAACACUAUUCCUAACACUAUUCCUAACACUAUUCCUAACGCUAUUCCUAACGCUAUUCCUAACACUAUUCCUAACGCUAUUCCUAACGCUAUUCCUAACACUAUUCCUAACGCUAUUCCUAACACUAUUCCUAACGCUAUUCCUAACACUAUUCCUAACACUAUUCCUAACACUAUUCCUAACGCUAUUCCUAACGCUAUUCCUAACACUAUUCCUAACGCUAUUCCUAACGCUAUUCCUAACGCUAUUCCUAACGCUAUUCCUAACACUAUUCCUAACACUAUUCCUAACACUAUUCCUAACGCUAUUCCUAACGCUAUUCCUAACGCUAUUCCUAACGCUAUUCCUAACACUAUUCCUAACGCUAUUCCUAACGCUAUUCCUAACGCUAUUCCUAACGCUAUUCCUAACGCUAUUCCUAACGCUAUUCCUAACGCUAUUCCUAACACUAUUCCUAACACUAUUCCUAACACUAUUCCUAACGCUAUUCCUAACGCUAUUCCUAACGCUAUUCCUAACACUAUUCCUAACGCUAUUCCUAACGCUAUUCCUAACGCUAUUCCUAACGCUAUUCCUAACACUAUUCCUAACACUAUUCCUAACACUAUUCCUAACGCUAUUCCUAACGCUAUUCCUAACGCUAUUCCUAACACUAUUCCUAACACUAUUCCUAACACUAUUCCUAACGCUAUUCCUAACGCUAUUCCUAACACUAUUCCUAACACUAUUCCUAACGCUAUUCCUAACACUAUUCCUAACACUAUUCCUAACACUAUUCCUAACGCUAUUCCUAACGCUAUUCCUAACGCUAUUCCUAACACUAUUCCUAACGCUAUUCCUAACGCUAUUCCUAACGCUAUUCCUAACACUAUUCCUAACACUAUUCCUAACACUAUUCCUAACACUAUUCCUAACGCUAUUCCUAACACUAUUCCUAACGCUAUUCCUAACACUAUUCCUAACACAUGGUAG
rnacentral:lncRNA from 1 species